rnacentral:rRNA from 1 species
AAUACCUUUAUGAUCUGAUCUCAAAUCAGGUAGGACUACCCGCUGAACUUAAGCAUAUCAAAGGC